UACGUAGGGUGCGAGCGUUGUCCGGAAUUAUUGGGCGUAAAGAGCUCGUAGGCGGUGUGUCACGUCGGCCGUGAAAACCUGCAGCUUAACUGUGGGCGUGCGGUCGAUACGGGCAUCACUGGAGUUCGGCAGGGGAGACUGGAAUUCCUGGUGUAGCGGUGAAAUGCGCAGAUAUCAGGAGGAACACCGAUGGCGAAGGCAGGUCUCUGGGCCGAUACUGACGCUGAGGAACGAAAGCGUGGGGAGCAAACAGG
rnacentral:rRNA from 1 species